rnacentral:rRNA from 1 species
GACGAACGCUGGCGGCGUGCUUAACACAUGCAAGUCGAACGGAAAGGCCCUGCUUUUGUGGGGUGCUCGAGUGGCGAACGGGUGAGUAACACGUGAGUAACCUGCCCUUGACUUUGGGAUAACUUCAGGAAACUGGGGCUAAUACCGGAUAGGAGCUCCUGCUGCAUGGUGGGGGUUGGAAAGUUUCGGCGGUUGGGGCUGGACUCGCGGCUUAUCAGCUUGUUGGUGGGGUAGUGGCUUACCAAGGCUUUGACGGGUAGCCGGCCUGAGAGGGUGACCGGCCACCUGGGGACUAAGAGAGGGCCCAGUCUCCUACGGGCGGCAGUAGUGGGAAAUAUUGCAGAACAGGCGGAAGCCUGAUGCAGCAACGCUGGGUGCGGGAUGACGGCCUUCGGGGUGUAAACCGCUUUCGCCUGUGACGAAGCGUGAGUGACGGUAAUGGGUAAAGAAGCCCCGGCUAACUACGUG